rnacentral:rRNA from 1 species
UAGUAACACGUGGAUACAAACCCUUGAGAUGUGAAUAACUCAUCGAAAGAUGAGCUAAUACUCAAUGGUCCGGGCGCUUAGUAAUUAGCUUCCGGUAAGGACUAGAGCAUCUAUUCCGCUCAAGGAUUGGUCCGCGGCCUAUCAGCUAGUUGGUGAGGUAAUGGCUCACCAAGGCUAUGACGGGUAGGGGAUGUGAGAGCAUGUUCCCCAACGACGGCGCUGCGAUACGGGCCGUACUCCUACGGGAGGCAGCAGUCGAGAAUAUUGGUCAAUGGGCGAAAGCCUGAACCAGCGACGCCGCGUGCAGGAAGAAGGCCUUCGGGUUGUAAACUGCUUUUCUGGAAGAGGAACCUUCGGGUGACAGUACUCCAGGAAUAAGGAGAUCCUAACUCUGUGCCAGCAGGAGCGGUAAUACAGAGUCUUCAAGCGUUAUUCGGAUUUAUUGGGCGUAAAGGGUCCGUAGGCGGUCAGGAAAGUCUUUGGUUAAAUCCCAAGGCUCAACUUUGGGGGUGCCAGAGAUACUACUACUAGAGGGCGCUAGAGGCUGAUGGAACGGUCGGUGUAGUGGUGAAAUACGUUGAUAUCGACCGGAACACCAAAAGCGAAGGCAUUCAGCUGGGGCGACCCUGACGCUGAGGGACGAAAGCGUGGGGAUCAAAAAGGAUUAGAUACCCUUGUAGUCCACGCUGUAAACGAUGGACACUGACUAUCUGAAGUGUCGACCCUUCAGGUGGCGAAGCUAACGCGUUAAGUGUCCCGCCUGGGAAUUACGCCGCAAGGCUAAAACUCAAAGGAAUAGACGGGGAUUCACACAAGCGGUGGAUCAUGUGGCUCAAUUCGUCAACAAACGAAGAACCUUACCAGGGUUUGAAACCCCGACGAAAGCUAUCUGAAAAGAUGGUCUUCUCACAAGGACGGCGGGGCAGGUGCUGCACGUCGUCGUCAGCAUGUAUCUUGAGACGCUCCCUUAAAUGGGGUAACAUGCGCAACCCCUGUUCUGCGUUUUAACUGUCGCAGAAGACUGCCAGGGAUAACCUGGAGGAAGGUGGGGAUGACGCCAGAUCAACGUGGUCCUUGAUACCUGGGCUGCACACAUGAUACAAUGGGGCCGACAAUGGGUUGCCAAAGCGUAAGCUGGAGCUAAUCCCACCAACGGUCUCUCAGUUCGGAUUGAGGUCU